rnacentral:lncRNA from 1 species
UCACCUUGGGCGCGGAGUUGGUGGACACCCCUAAUGUCCACUAGAGGACUCUCCACGUGAUCUUAGGACCACCAGUGAGUGGAAUACAACUUCUGUUCCAAUCCAAUCACGCAGGACCUGAGACAGCACUAGGGAAGCAGAAAACCCAGCCUGACCAGGGUCCAAAUCCCUUGCGGUCGGCGCCAGCACCGAAUCACCUGGGUGCAGAGUCGGUGGACAUCCCCAAGGUCCCUAGAGGACAGCUUCUGAGGCAGAACCCAUUUCAGGCUCCAGACAUUCGGGCCUUUCCUGCAAGAGGAGAAGUAUCUGCCCUGCCCGGGAGGGCUUUGCCUGAGCACCUGGAGGAGCCAUCUUGGUUCCUGGAUCCCUCUAAGACUAGUCUGCGCAGGUGAGAGUGUGGACUUAAGAAGCUACAGCUUCUGUGACAGGUCAGAGCAACACAACUUUUGGGACAGGUCCUGUUUCGGGCCUUCAUCUUCUGCCAGGGGGCAGAUCCAAACACCAGAUAUCUGUGCACCUACCCUGUAAGAGGAGAGCUUGCCUACAGAGAGUGUUCUGACCACUGAAACUCAGAGGAGAGAGCUAAUCUCCCAGGUCUGCUGAUAGAGGCUAACAGAAUCACGAGAGGAACAAUCUGUAACCAGAGACAACUAAAUCAACUAACUCCAGAAAUUACAAGAUGGCAAAAGGCAAACUUAAGAAUCUUACUAACAGAAACCAAGUCCACUCACCAUCAUCAGAACCCAGCACUCCCAUCUCAGCCGGUCCUGGAUACCCCAACAUACCCGAAAAGCAAGACUCAGAUUCAAAAAUCAUAAUUGUGAUAAAAACUGCAUGGUACUGGUAAAGCGACAGACAAGUAGACCAAUGGGAUAGAAAUGAAGACCCAGAAAUGAAUCCACACACCUAUGGUCACUUGAUCUUUGACAAGGGAGCUAAAACCAUCCAGUGGGAAAAAGACAGCAUUUUCAACAAAUGGUGGUGGCACAACUGGUGGUUAUCAUGUAGAAGAAUUCGAAUCCAUUCCUAUCUCCUUGUACUAAGGUCAAAUCUAAGUGGAUCAAAGAACUCCACAUAAAACCAGAGACAGUGAGACUCAUAGAGGAGAAAGUAGGGAAAAACCUCGAAGAUAAGGGCACAGGGGAAAAAUUCCUAAAUGGAACAUCAAUGGCUUGUGCUGUAAGAUUGAGAAUUGACAAAUAGGACCUCAUAAAAUUGCAAAGCUUCUGUAAGGCAAAAGACACCGUCAGUAAGACAAAAAGGCCACCAACAGAUUGGGAAAGGAUCUUUACCUAUCCUAAGUCAGAUAGGGGACUAAUAUCCAAUAUAUAUAAAGAACUCAAGAAGGUGGACUCCUGAAAAUCAAAUAAUCCCAUUAAAAAAAUGGGGCUCAGAGCUAAACAAAGAAUUCUCACCUGAGGAAUACCGAAUGGCAGAGAAGCACCUGAAAAAAUGUUCAGCAUCCUUAAUCAUCAGGGAAAUGCAAAUCAAAACAACCCCUGAUCUUCCACCUCACACCAGUCAGACUGGCUAAGAUCAAAAAUUCAGGUGACAGCAGAUGCUAGUGAGGAUGUGGAGAAAGAGAAACACUCCUCCAUUGUUGGUGGGAUUGCAAGCUUGUACAACCACUCUGGAAAUCAGUCUGGCGGUUUCUCAGAAAAUUGGACAUAGUACUACCAGAGGAUCAAGAAGUAUCUCUCCUGGGCAUAUAUCCAGAAGAUGUUCCAACCGGUAAGAAGGACACAUGCUCCACUAUGUUCAUAGCAGCCUUAUUUAUAAUAUACAGAAGCUGGAAAAGAACCCAGAUGUCCCUCAACAGAGGAAUGGAUACAGAAAAUGUGGUACAUUUACACAAUGGAGUACUAUUCAACUAUUAAAAAGAAUGAAUUUAUGAAAUUCCUAGGCAAAUGGAUGGACCUGGAGGUCAUCCUCCUGAGUGAGAUAACCCAAUCACAAAAGAACUCACAUGAUAUGUACUCACUGAUAAGUGGAUAUUAGCCCAGAAACUUAGAAUACCCAAGAUACAAUAUACAAUCUGCAAAACACAUGAAACUCAAGAAGAACGAAGACCAGAAUGUGGACACUUUGCCCCUUCUUAGAACUGGGAACAAAACACCCAUGGAAGGAGUUACAGAGAUAAAGUUUGGAGCUGAGAUGAAAGGAUAGACCAUCUAGAGACUGCCAUACCCGGGGAUUCAUCCCAUAAUCAGCCUCCAAACACUGACACCAUUGCAUACACUAGCAAGAUUUUGCUUAAAGUACCCAGAUAGAGCUGUCUCUUGUGAGGCUAUGCCGGGGCCUAACAAACACAGAAGUGGAUGCUCACAGGCAGCUAGUAGAUGGAUCACAGGGCCCCCAAUGGAGGAGCUAGAGAAAGUACCCAAGAAGCUAAAGGGAUCUGCAACCCUAUAGGUGGAACAACAAUAUGAACUAACCAGUACCCCCCAGAGCUCGUGUUUCUAGCUGCAUAUGUAUCAGAAGAUGGCCUAGUCGGCCAUCAUUGGAAAGAGAGGCCUAUCUGUCUUGCAAACUUUAUAUGCCUCAGUACAGGGGAAUACCAGGGCUAAGAAGUGGGAGUGGGUGGGGAGGGGAGUGGGGAGGAGGGUAUGGGGGACUUUUGGGAUAGCAUUGGAAAUGUAAAUGAAGAAAAUACCUAAUUAAAAAAAGAACGUCAUUAAUAAUGUCAGGGAUUGGUGCUUGCCCAUGGGAUGGGUUCCAAGUUGGGCCGGUUAUUGGUUGGACAUUGUCCAAAUUACAUGUAUUUGUAAGUUUCCUGUUUUUCCUUAUAGAUUUAUUGCAUUGUAGUCAGAAAUAUACUUAAUAUAAUUAGUGAUUCCCACGUUGGACCUCCUCUCCCUCCUAAGUCUGUUUUUCUAAUACACACACACACACACACACACACACACCAGUGUACUAAGGAUUUUAUGUAGAAACUAACACAUGCUUCAGUGUUUAAGAAAUUGUUGAGAAUUGUUUUGGGUCCUUCCAUUUGAUCUCUUCUGGAUAAUAUUCCCUGUGUUG